UGGGUGGGCGACUUUCUGCCUAUCACGUGACCACCCGUCACUACCGGCUUCGUCAAGCUUGUCAGACCGGGAGACCUUGUGGGCUGUGAACGAGGAGGUGUGACUGGGUCUCAAGCACCGUAUGUGGGGAGUGAGGGUUAUUUAGCAGAUUAUUGGAUGGGAAGUCUGAGGAGCCCAGAACUAAUUGAUCAAACCGAAGCGAAAGCAGAUGAUUGAAAGGAUUCGCCUUCCAUUACAGUGAUGUUUCCAAGUAUAACCUAUGUGGCAAGUAUUCUGUUUUUUAUUCCGUAUUGGUAGAAAUAAACUAGUCAU